GCUACGCAUGUCUUACAACGGACUCGCCAUCCGUUUUCACGAAACAACUUGCCCACUUCCUAUAUGAGCGGAGAGAUAAGACACGAUCUCUGAUAUCCGCGAAUGACAUUCCUUGUAUAUUGCCCUGCAAUCCCAAUCCUCUCUUCUUGCUAGUAAUACUCCCCUGCAGAUCUUCUCAUCCCGAUACUAAUACGCCCCUGUUAGAUCCACUCAUCCCGCUGUGCCUCGUCCGCCGCUGCAACCCGCCUUCAGGUGCCUAAUGGGAUUCAUAUGUAGAGGGGUCGUCAAUUAUGUGCAGCGGCGAGUCGGCGAGCCGAACGCCGUUGCUAGAUCCAGUCAUCCCGCGGCGCCCCGUCCACAUCUGCAACCCGCCUUCAGGUGGAGACCUCCACCUCGAUCCUUUCUCUUGAUUUCUAUUGAUGUCGUCAUCUCUGGUUUCAGCGGGCCGUGCUUCGUUCUAGAGAUUAUGUGCCUCGACGGGUACCACUUGGUUUCAGUUUCACUCCUACCUGACCCGAAGUCUGCAGUCCUUGGUUGGCUCGAUCCGCUAAUUAUUCAGGUUGUGUUCUGUGUGGAUACGUGUUGUGCCUCUGUCCCUGCCGCUCAACCAAGGGUGCUUGCUCUCAGAUCACCUGCCACAAGUCCCAACUGCUAACCACCGCUCCCACCCGGCUUCUCCCUUAAUCAGAUGACCACAGGUUCAGACAAGAGGUAAAGCUUCAGUAUUUGUGUUCUGCAACGAGAAAUAUAAAUCUGUGGUACUAUAGAAGAAGGGCUCAUAAAGUAAUCAGAGUGUGUAGUACGGCCUGAUUGGUAAAAUAAGUGGACGGAGCAUGGCUGAGAUGCUGAGAACAAGUUUCAAGAAUGGCGCUACUACGAGAUAGUUGUAGACUAUGUUUUAGAGUGUCACUUCUAGAGAUACAUAACUUGUAUUCAAUUAGUCAUGCUACUUGUAAAGCAACAUAGUUAAUCAAUAUAUGAGAUCCUUCUGUUUAA